GGUGAACGCUGGCGGUAGGCCUAACACAUGCAAGUCGAACGGCAGCACAGUAAGAGCUUGCUCUUACGGGUGGCGAGUGGCGGACGGGUGAGGAAUACAUCGGAAUCUACUUUUUCUUGGGGGAUAACGUAGGGAAACUUACGCUAAUACCGCAUACGACCUACGGGUGAAAGCAAGGGAUCUUCGGACCUUGCGCGAUUGAAUGAGCCGAUGUCGGAUUAGCUAGUUGGCGGGGUAAAGGCCCACCAAGGCGACGAUACGUAGCUGGUCUGAGAGGAUGAUCAGGCACACUGGAACUGAGACACGGUCCAGACUCCUAAGGGAGGCAGCAGUGGGGAAUAUUGGACAAUGGGCGCAAGCCUGAUCCAGCCAUACCGCGUGGGUGAAGAAGGCCUUCGGGUUGUAAAGCCCUUUUGUUGGGAAAGAAAAGCAGCAGGUUAAUACCCCGCUGUUCUGACGGUACCCAAAGAAUAAGCACAGGCUAACUUCGUG
rnacentral:rRNA from 1 species